GUCGUGCUAGCCAGAGAGAACUAAGAGCUCGGAGACGAUGGAAGUACUCUGCAAUUGCCAGAAAACACCUUGCAGCUUGGCGGAUCGUCAGAAUUUGGUGCAGCCGAUGAAUGGUCUGGUGCCUCAGAUUAUCUGCCUCAAUGGUCCGGAGUACCUUGAUGAGUUCUGAAGGCUUGAAUCCACCCAUCCACAUAAAGCAUCGUUCGGCUGGAGUCUUCCACAUUCCGGAAACAAGAUGGAACACGUCGGUUUUGGCCACCAUGCUUUUAAGGUUCAUCGCCUCGUCAUAGUGUACUAAAGAAUUUUCAACAAAGAGCCGAAGCUCGUUCUCUGGCAAAUGCUCCUGUACUGCUGCUCGGAGCUCACAUGUGAUCCGAUGAUGUUCCUCCAGCCACCUCGCAUACUCCAUGUCGAAGACAGCAGCAUCUGAAAAACAAAAUAAAAUGGUUCCAGCAUGAAACGAAGAUGACAAAACUUAACUUGAGGUAGUCUAGAAAACAAAAGUAACAACCAAAAGCAUUAAUAAACCUGAGCUAAUGAUGGAUGGAUGGAUUGGAAAUAUAUACCUGAGCUAAUGUUGCUCACAGCAACUGGAAGUCCUUGUUCUCCUCCAAAAAGAGAUCCUCCCCCUAGAAAUAUACCCUGGGCGAAAGCCGGUGAUCUUGAUUAGUAAGUACUACGUACAUAUAUAAUCUAGCAGCAACAAUUAAUGGCUCAAAGAGGAAAGGGUCCUUACUUGAGAUCUAGCUCUUUGCAGCUCUUGUUCCAGCUGCGUAAGCUUUAUCCUACUUGAUUCUAACUGUUGAACAUAUGCCUGUAGUGCAACAAAAAAUGCUUUAGAACCAA